rnacentral:rRNA from 1 species
AGUUUGAUCCUGGCUCAGAUUGAACGCUGGCGGCAGGCCUAACACAUGCAAGUCGAGCGGUAGCACAGAGAGCUUGCUCUCGGGUGACGAGCGGCGGACGGGUGAGUAAUGUCUGGGAAACUGCCUGAUGGAGGGGGAUAACUACUGGAAACGGUAGCUAAUACCGCAUAACGUCGCAAGACCAAAGUGGGGGACCUUCGGGCCUCAUGCCAUCAGAUGUGCCCAGAUGGGAUUAGCUAGUAGGUGGGGUAACGGCUCACCUAGGCGACGAUCCCUAGCUGGUCUGAGAGGAUGACCAGCCACACUGGAACUGAGACACGGUCCAGACUCCUACGGGAGGCAGCAGUGGGGAAUAUUGCACAAUGGGCGCAAGCCUGAUGCAGCCAUGCCGCGUGUGUGAAGAAGGCCUUCGGGUUGUAAAGCACUUUCAGCGGGGAGGAAGGCGUUAAGGUUAAUAACCUUGGCGAUUGACGUUACCCGCAGAAGAAGCACCGGCUAACUCCGUGCCAGCAGCCGCGGUAAUACGGAGGGUGCAAGCGUUAAUCGGAAUUACUGGGCGUAAAGCGCACGCAGGCGGUCUGUCAAGUCGGAUGUGAAAUCCCCGGGCUCAACCUGGGAACUGCAUUCGAAACUGGCAGGCUAGAGUCUUGUAGAGGGGGGGUAGAAUUCCAGGUGUAGCGGUGAAAUGCGUAGAGAUCUGGAGGAAUACCGGUGGCGAAGGCGGCCCCCUGGACAAAGACUGACGCUCAGGUGCGAAAGCGUGGGGAGCAAACAGGAUUAGAUACCCUGGUAGUCCACGCCGUAAACGAUGUCGAUUUGGAGGUUGUGCCCUUGAGGCGUGGCUUCCGGAGCUAACGCGUUAAAUCGACCGCCUGGGGAGUACGGCCGCAAGGUUAAAACUCAAAUGAAUUGACGGGGGCCCGCACAAGCGGUGGAGCAUGUGGUUUAAUUCGAUGCAACGCGAAGAACCUUACCUGGUCUUGACAUCCACAGAACUUUCCAGAGAUGGAUUGGUGCCUUCGGGAACUGUGAGACAGGUGCUGCAUGGCUGUCGUCAGCUCGUGUUGUGAAAUGUUGGGUUAAGUCCCGCAACGAGCGCAACCCUUAUCCUUUGUUGCCAGCGGUUCGGCCGGGAACUCAAAGGAGACUGCCAGUGAUAAACUGGAGGAAGGUGGGGAUGACGUCAAGUCAUCAUGGCCCUUACGACCAGGGCUACACACGUGCUACAAUGGCAUAUACAAAGAGAAGCGACCUCGCGAGAGCAAGCGGACCUCAUAAAGUAUGUCGUAGUCCGGAUUGGAGUCUGCAACUCGACUCCAUGAAGUCGGAAUCGCUAGUAAUCGUAGAUCAGAAUGCUACGGUGAAUACGUUCCCGGGCCUUGCACACACCGCCCGUC